rnacentral:pre_miRNA from 1 species
GCGUUAGGGCCUGAUCCAAAGCCCACUGAAGGCAAUGGGAGUCUUUUCACUGACUUCACCGGGCUUUGAAUCGGGCCCAAAGGGA